CCAUUUGAAAAAUUAUAUAUGGACAUUGUUGUUCUCCCAGAAUCCGAAUGGGGCAACAAAUACGCGCUGGUUAUGCAGGAUGACCUUACAAGAUUUUUGGUAGUAGCUCCAAUGGACAAUCAAGAAGCGGAGACUGUAUCCAAAACUUUUGUCGAAAAAUUCAUUUGUAAAUUCGGUACUCCGUUGGAACUGGUGACAGACCAAGGAGCAAAUUUCAUGAGCAAAUUUUUUAAACACGCAUGCAAAAUUUUGAAAAUCAAAAAAAUCAAUACAAGUGCUUAUCACCCACAAGCAAAUCUAGUAGAACGAUCAAACAGAGAAUUGAAAACAUAUUUGCGACAAUUUGUCGGAGAAAACCCGCAACAAUGGGAUCAACAUCUUGAUUAUUUUACCUUUGAAUACAAUACUACAAAUAAUAGCUCAACAAGCUACAGUCCGUUCGAACUUUUAUAUGGAAGAAAGGCAAGGAUUCCUACCUCUAUAUACACUCCAACAGAUUCAGAUAUAACAUAUAAUGACUAUUUUUGCGAAAUGAAACAAAUUCUUAAAAAUUUGCAUGAAAACGCCAAAAGAAAUUUGAUUAUUUCCAAAGAGAAACGUAAAAUUAUUUAUGACAAGAAAACCGAAGAAUGGCAACCUAUGUGGGGCGAAUUGGUUUUAGUACAAGCAAUCCCAACAGGAACAGGUCAAAAACUUCAAAGUAAAUGGAGAGGCCCAUACGCAGUAGUUGACCUACCCAGCGAACAAACCACAAUUAUUAAAAAUGGGAACAAAUUUGAAAAAGUCCACAAUAAUAGGUUAAAAAAGUAUAAUGAUUGAUUAGCUAUGCAUAGUCGUCAAUGUAUAAAUUGAUGUAUAUAUUGAAAAUCCAAUUAUUUCCUAAUUACGAAUGAUUUUUGUAAAUAUUAGUUACUAAAUAUAUUGUUAAAAAAAUACCAUAGGAAUAAUAUGUUAGGAUAGAGGCUUGCGUAGGAUAGCUAGGAAUAUUUAUUGAAUUAUUAUAUUAAAUAAACAAUUAACAUAUAUAAUUGUAGUAAGGUUCACAACAAAGCGGUUAACGAUUGGAGAACAUACGAAUUAACUUAAUUGAUAUUAUAUCGUAACAACUUAAAAGGAAUUGAAAAUAAAAUAAAAUAAAAUAAAAAAUUAUGAUAAUAGCAAUAAAUAAAAAAAAAAAUUAUGAGAAUAUGAAGAGACAUAAAGAAAUGAGGAUGAUGAAUGAAUCAGGAUAAUAAAAAUAAGGUUUCGGGAUAUUUUGUACAGCUGAAUUAUAACAAAAAUGCGUCCAUCAAUUCGGCAUGAGUUUGAAUGCAAGAACGAUUUGAAUGUACCGAAGAGCUGAAAAGGGGUAAUUUGGGAUGAGGAAACAUAACUAUGCAAAAUGAUUAUUUGAAAAGGGUAUAUAGAAAUUGGGAAUGAAGAAUUGGGCAAUUGAUAUAUUGGGAAUAAUAUGAUGGGAAAUACAAAGUAAUCUUGAAAGGGGAUCAUUGGGGUAUAUCGGGUAACAAUAGCGGGGAAUGUAUAAGAAGAAAAAUAAUAACUUUAGAGAUUCUUGAAUAAAGAAGCAGCUCUAUUUAACGUUAAUACAUAUGGGAUACAUAAUAAAUGAGGUUUGAACAAACAAACAAAAGACAUAAAUUGUUGAUUGAGAGUAUUAAUAAUAAAAAGAAACAGUGACAACAACCGAACGAUUAUUCUCUGAAAUGAUAAAGCAAAACGGAUUAAACAAAAAAAAAACAAUUUAGAAACAAUUUAGACCCUAAUGAAACUACGGAGGACGCUCCUAUAUAAAAUGGCCAUGUUACAUAACAUUUUUGAAAGUAUAUACGAGAUCGGAUGAAAAUUGAAUGAUGAGGACAAGGGAGGGCCCCCCAGAAUGCUUGUGAAUGUUGAGUGUAAAUGAUGAAUGAAUAACUAAUUCAAAAAAAUAAUAAUAAUAAUAAUAUGUGAAUGAAAAAUGAAGUAAUAUUUAUAGAUUCGGAAUCAUUAGGUGGCGUCAAGAAACAAAAACUAGAAAUUAACAUAAAUAUAUUUAUAUUUUAUCAAAUCAUGAAUUAAACACAAGAUCUAAGUCUCGUUACAGGUAUCCAUCCAAAAACCUUAUUCGGUAAGGGGGAGAAGUCGUAGCAAUAAGGCGAUCAAGCCGAGCCUGCGAAAGGAAACGGAGCAAACAGGAAUUGAAAGAAAACGCACUGGAGAGAAUUCUGCAGUGAGAUUUUUUUGGAAUUGGUAAUACAGAUGUUUAUAGUGAUCCUGCAGAAGCUUUCCAUUGCUACAACUCACAUUUUAAUAUUUUACGGUUUUUGAAAAAAAAAAACAGUUUAUGACUAUUAAGAAAAGUAACGGUAACAGAGCAUGAUUAAUGUAAUGGUGCAGUUUUUUUUAAUACUAUUGUAAAGGUUAUAUUUUGCACAUACAAGAAAAACAAAUAAUAAUUACAUGAAGACUAAAAGUUCAGUUUGCCAUGGUAGAUCAAUAUUUUAUAAAUCGAUGGUUUCGACAGAAUUAAAAAUACAACUUCCUCGAGAGAUGACGCGGGAGGACAAGACGAGAAGGCAACAUCCGGCGAGAGCAACCAGAGGAGCAGUUCAACGGUACCUCUAUGAAAACGUACCACAGUCAAAUUGGUACGAAGACGAGAAAUAACAGAUCGGAUGGAAAGUUGAAGGUCAAAGGUGCUGGUAUGGCGGAGGAGAGGAUUCAGCGAACAUAAUUUUUCACCGGAGACGAUUCAAGGUCAACUCGGGUGGCACAUCGAGACAAAUAUUAUUGUACAUCUGCGAAUCUGCUAAUAUGAACCAACACAAUGCAGAGCAUCGGGAAAAACUACAACAACAACGACAGCAACAACAAAACAACAACAACAAAAACAACAACAACAACAACAAUUCAUACAGACAUAUGAUGAGAGAAGGACGUCUUCAAAGUUUCCCAAAUUAACCGACAUAAUGUAAUGUUCACCAACCGCAUUACAUUCACCAUUGAAAAAGCACUUACUCCGUGCUUCUUACAACAACAAUUAACAGUAACCAUAACCAGGAAUGCAACAUUUCGACAUCAUCAAAAGGUUUGGAAUUUAAGCCAACUAAUUACAAACUCUUUAAAGAAUGUGCAACAGUUCCACAAUUUGCACCAGGUCAAAGACAACAAUAUUCGCAUCACUAUUGAGAUUGAUCCAAUACCAACAAAAUUCAGAAGGCGGGCGAUAAGUAAUCAACCACAACACCGUAAACGACAAUGAUAAACAAUCCAGUUCGGAAGGCAACUUAUGACACUUUUUCGAGAAACAACAGAAAGCAACAGUAAAACUAGUUCUUCUGUAUGCAAACGACAGCGCGGAAAUUACCAGCAGGGAAAUACGAUUCAACCGAGGUAAUAUCCGGAUACCAAAACUUCAUGGUCACGUCACCAUAGGAGACGACAUCAACAGAAUCAACUACAUCAUCUUCAAGACAAAUCAGUACAACAGAGAAGCAACGAUACCAUUCAUCUGAGACCUGAAACUAACCAAUUGAUCUGGACAUUUAACAAGAAGAGGUAGAAAUCAAUGGUAGACGAACAACCCCUACGACGAAUCAAGAGGAGCAGCAGCAAGUACCAAUGAAGUCAAUCUCUUGAGGAAGAAUGUAAGAAGGUUAAUACAAAAUUUAAAGUUUCUUUGGGAUAUUCAGAUCAAUCAACUGUAGUGGAAAAUAUUGUAAGACACUUACUGGGAAGAUAAAGAUUAGUUUAGCAGUUUCAGUUUAGAAAAUUAACGAUCAUCGUUAACGUCAUCAUCUAAAUGAAGUUUUGGGGGAUACAUUUUACCCACAUCCUUACAUUUGAACGUGAUUUUAUACACGUUCAAACUCCGCUAAGUGGGAGGGCAUGCAACGCCUAAAUAUUCCCACGCCUUCCGAUAUUCUAAGUCAAUUCAACUGUGAAAGAAAAAGAUGCAUUUCCCCCCCCCCACACACUCCCGUUAGAGUAGCUGCCUGGGUGUGUUUUUAUUUCAAUUUUUCACCAACAGCUACGCUCUAGGUAGGUUCUACCCACCUCACGCGCUGUAAAUUGGAAGCAACGGGAAACAUACCAUUCGUUACUGACUUUGUUUUUAUGACCCAUCAUCGCACCCGGUGAUGGCCGGGUGCGAUCGUGUUCAAACACGGGAGUCGAGCCGGUAAAUCCACAAUAUGCUUGGUGGGUCAAUGGUCGCUGGGUUUGAUUGUCGGCGACCGAUUCCAAGGCUCAAUUGUAAACCUGUAAAGGUUUUGUUUUUGAUCUAAAAUGUCGUACUGGACGUUGACUAAAACAACAUCCGUACGGUGUCCUGGUUUCGCGGGGCAGCGACCGCGCAGCGAUGCGUUUGUUUUGUUUUCCAUGAUCGUACAUGUUGGGUCCGGUUGGUUUGGUGCAGCUCUGAUUACGCUCGGUGGGCCGUCGAUAGGAAUGCCAUGGAACGGAUACCCUAUCGAUCGCGCUAGAAUGUUGCGAAAAUCAAGGCGCCGUAUUGGCCGCAUAUGGCUUUAGGUAGCCUAGAUUGUUUUGGUUUUGAAAUCGAGGCACUGUAUCUGCCGAGAAUGGUUUCAGGUAGCCGUGAUUGUUUUCACUUGGUUCGAUUUUUGAACCCAGGUGAACCAUAAAAGGAAUGUUGAAAAUCGAAAUCGUACUGGCGGCAUAGGGGCGCCGGAAUUGUUUUGUACUCGAUUUUGUUUUGACUUCGAGUAAAAGAAUGUGGGGUAUAAUUUCAACGAACAUCCGCGGCCGAGCCCGGCUAGGGGUCAUUGUGCACAAGCAAGGGUACAUUUGAAUAACAAGGCGGUUGCUUUGUUUUGAAGAAUUGGGUGCCAAGUCCGAAAGAUGAUGGCGCUAAGAAUGAUGAUGAUGAUGAUGAUAAUGAUGAUGAUAAUGAUGAUGAUAAUGACGAUGAUGUUGACGAAGAUGGCAAUGAUGGGGGUCGACUUUGGAUACGCCCAAGUCAGGCGUGGUUUUCGGUGUUAAGAUUUUCAUAGCGGUUUGCUCAAACAAAAAAAAAAACGCCCAAGUCAGGCGUGGCUAGGAGAUUUAGACUUGGGAAUAAGAUUUUCAUAGGUUCUGUUCAAACACGCCCAAGUCAGGAGGGGAUGGUAACCAUGAUGAGAACGAGUAGGAUAGAUAGAGUUCUUAACUUUUAGCUUUUUUAUUUUUGGCAUCGAUGGUUUUUGGACACGCCCAAGAUGGUUUGGGCAACGUUAGAAAUUUUCGAGACUUCUUCGGGUAUUGCUAGGAAAUUUAGGCUAUAAAUACGGAUGCUUUGGCUUCAGUCGGGGUCAGUUGUCGGGGAGUUCGGUGACAACGUUAACGCAGGCAGCACAUCGGAUAAGUCUUGAGCUCCCAUGUGGGACACCUCUAGAUACUGUCCAAAUAAAAGCUGUAGGUAGGACGUAGUAGUCGGGUCAAGAAGAAGCUGGAAGUGUCUCUAGUAGUUCGGUGAAGAAAUACAGAUAAUGUUAAGAUGAUAUAAGAAAAAGUGAACCGUUGUAAUAUAAGAUAAGUGAUGGUUUGUGAUACUUCAAUAUAGUUUAUUAAAACUG